CCUCAAAUGCAGUGUAUCAGAGUGGCUUUGCUGGGUUUAGAUGCUAAAAGGAAUUUAAAAACUACUAGGAAAAAGCAGCCUAGGGGGUUUCUGUGGCUCUUACUGCUUCUUUCACUCUUCAUCUCUUUGAAGAGAAGCAGACCAGCAAGGUGUGUUUGUUUCACCACCACACACCUGGAGCCAUUCUCAGUCUUGCUUCCCUGCUCCCAGAGCUGCGUGUGAAGCAGCUGGGCAGACAGGGAAAAGGAGGAGCACUUCUCCCAUCACCAGCCAGGGGUUUGCUCACACAACCUUUUUGUGUAUCUCAGGAGUUGGGUUAUGGAAAGCAGGAGAAAGUGGAGACACCUGCUUCUACAACAUCUACAAGUGUCUGAGAAUUUCAUUUCUUGGUCUCUCCAGCUGCAAGUUAAAGACAGCCCAGCAACCAGGGACAUGACAAAAUAGAAGCAUUCAGGCUGUGUGGUGUUGAAUAAUGAGAGCAAUUUAGAUACAUCUGGGAUAACACCACAUUUACUGCAUUAGUGGAACAUUUUCUCCCAUGACAUAAUCUGUCAAUGGUCUUCUAUAACUGACAGAAUAAAACUUCUUGUCAACUUUAUUUUUGCAUAUACAUAUUUUCUCUAACUGGCUUUUCUUUUUUGUGAAUUUAUGCAUUACAUCAGAACUUGAACUCUUACUGUUCCCUUCUGAAAAUUCAGACCUUUCACAUGCAUGUCAUCUGUGCUCUUUCACCAUGCACAUUCAGAGAGCUCUUCCGUACAUACCUCCACAACCUAGUUUGAGACCAUCAGUGCUCCUCUGGCAGGAGAAAUCCUCGUAUAUUUACAUCUGCAAAUCUCAGGUUAUCUUACUACUGGAAGGAGAUAAAAAUAUGUCAUAGCUUUGCUUGCCUUGUACCCAGGCUGGCUGAAAGGCCAGGAACACAUAUCAUGCCCCAUGUGUUAAACCUGUGGCUACACUCUAAAGCAAUGGCUGAAAGGAGUUAAUACAAAUCUGUUUGGAACCAGGGAGUCAAGAUCUCCAGAUCUGAAGAAAGGAAUGGUCUUUGCAGUAAAGAAAGACUAGGAGAAGACUCUAUCUGGGAACAGGCUGAGGAGUUCUAUCUCUUCACAAUCACUGAAGAUCUGCCCUCAAGGUCCUCAAAUCCUAUGAGUUAUUUGACAGAAAUCACUGAAGAAAAGCUCCUCACAUUCCUCCCUAUGCUUCAUCUUAUGGCAAUGGAAAAGCCUUGUAGAUGACUAUGAAAAUAGCAAUCUGGAUAAUUCAUAAAAGCUCUUCUGCCCCUAUCAAUGAUGCCUCACUGUAAUGGCAGCAUUGGCAAUUCCAAUGUUAAUCACUUAGACAGGAAUUUUUUUUAAUGUCUUUCUCAUACCUCUUCUUGACCCUUAGGACAUGCGUGACCAUUGUAAUACAUACAAAAGAGAGACUCAACUGGCAAAGAUUAAUAUAAAUAUUAGCCAAAAUAAGGAUGUGCCAGUUAGUUCUUCUAGUAGCAUCUCUGCAACACAACUGGUGUGAGACAUGCCCUGAAAAAGAGCCUAAGAUGCUGUGCAUCAAGAAAAUGCCAUUGGGAAAGAUCUGCAGCUGUGAGCAGUAAUUGGCAAAGUGCUAUCAUCAAAGCCCACAUGGUCACAUAUGCAGAGGGAGAUUCAUAGCACAUCAAGUGUAAAAUGAAAGCUGUGAUAUAGCAAACAUGAAGCCAAAGAAAUAUUGGUCAAUAUGCUGAAGCUGCUGGCUGCAGCAGUCCCCAAACUGUGUGUAACUUUGAAAAUAACAGGAGAAAACUGGAAGCACAACCCCCAAACAGUUGUUCUAGUUAGUGGAAAAAGCUGAUGUAGAGAAAUAUUCCACAGAAAUGAGGUGCAGAUGCUGGAUCAUUAUCAGUGACUAAUAUCACAGUGUCAGUGCUCUCACAAGCAUGAAAGUGAUAUAGAUCAUCACUAAUGCCUAUGGAUUUAUUAAGUCACAUGGUCAGUCUACAUUCCUCCAUCUCCAUCAGGCAAAGGCUGUGGACACUAAACAAUGAAAGAAGUGAUGUCCUUCAGUCACAGUGAAUGGAUAAAUGAAGAACACAGAUCAGUAACAUCACAGAGUAUAUUAGCGGAUUAGUAGGCUAAGACACAUGAAAUAUGUGCUGGUAUAAAAUAUUAAACUAAUUAUGAAGAGUGGUUCUGCACAGCCAACACCAGAUGCUUUGAUUCUGACUACUAAUCUGUUUGAAACACAAGGCUAUGUCACAUAUAAGUGUGGUCCUGCACACUGGCAAGGUGCCCAGAGACUGUGAACCUGUGACGGAAUGGCAAGAGUGAGAAUUUCUCACUCUCUUUUAGUCUUGCUUUAAAGACAGAUAGUUCCCUCCCUCUUAAUUUAUUCUGCUUCAUGUUGAACAAAAUUAAGGGUGUGUCCCUAAAAGAAAAGAGUUCUUCAAAUUUUUGGAAAGAAAGAAAAAUGUCAUCAAUAUCAACCUGUCCACUGGCAUCUCAAGCAUCUUUCUCUCCAUCAGCAGAGAGGGAACUAAGAUAUGGAACAUGUGGAGAUCCCUAAGUGACGACAGGACUACACUCUGCAGGAAAUGAUCCACCACUGCCCAUAAAUAAAGCAAUAGUUUUAACUUCAUAGACUCGAGUGAAAGCACAGUGAGAGCAAUACUGGAGCAUAUUCCACAAAGGCUCGUGCUUUGAUUAGAUCUAUCAUCUAUGAUGAUUAAAAAAUAUUGCAU